rnacentral:rRNA from 1 species
CGCGUAGGUGGUUUGUUAAGUUGGAUGUGAAAGCCCCGGGCUCAACCUGGGAACUGCAUCCAAAACUGGCAAGCUAGAGUACGGUAGAGGAUGGUGGAAUUUCCUGUGUAGCGGUGAAAUGCGUAGAUAUAGGAAGGAACACCAGUGGCGAAGGCGACCACCUGGACUGAUACUGACACUGAGGUGCGAAAGCGUGGGGAGCAAACA